AAAUUGAAGAGUUUGAUCAUGGCUCAGAUUGAACGCUGGCGGCAGGCCUAACACAUGCAAGUCGAACGGUAACAGAAAGCAGCUUGCUGCUUUGCUGACGAGUGGCGGACGGGUGAGUAAUGUCUGGGAAACUGCCCGAUGGAGGGGGAUAACUACUGGAAACGGUAGCUAAUACCGCAUAACGUCGCAAGACCAAAGAGGGGGACCUUCGGGCCUCUUGCCAUCGGAUGUGCCCAGAUGGGAUUAGCUAGUAGGUGGGGUAACGGCUCACCUAGGCGACGAUCCCUAGCUGGUCUGAGAGGAUGACCAGCCACACUGGAACUGAGACACGGUCCAGACUCCUACGGGAGGCAGCAGUG
rnacentral:rRNA from 1 species